rnacentral:lncRNA from 1 species
UAGCAAAUAUUGAUGAACCUCGAUAGCUUGAAGGCGCAUCCUUGGCUUAUCCCAGCGCGAUCCGUCCAUGGUCUCUUUCUCAUGUGCCUAUACCCCACCUAUAGUGGAAAGCAGUUGCUUUGUACUCGCAGGUGACAGAAAUCAUCCCUUUUUUUUCUAAAUCUCUAACAAAUUAACAUACUUUGCUGUUUUUUUCUUGAUUCGGAAUAAAUUUUUUGUGAUAUUGGGGUUUUUCUUGCGCAAGAUUAGAGAGAGAGAGAGAAAAGAAGAGAGAUAAAAGCAAAAAAAUACAGAGAGGGAUGGAGAUUGAUUUGACACCCAAGUUGGCUAAGAAGGUGCACGGAGGAAAUGGGGGAAAUUACUAUGCAUCCUGUUUUCUAACCUGUAAUUCUAGAGUCCAAUUAGUUUCUAAUUUCAAUAUUCGCAGAACUGAUGUUGUUCAUUUGAUUUUGUCUCUAAGUGGAUUAUUACGUUUCUAUUUAGCGUCGAUUUAGAAAUUUCUUGAACCAAAAUCCCAAUUUUUGGCUGACGGCGACACGACUAAUAAGCCAUUUAUGCUGAACAGGUACUCUUAUUGCAAUUAAUUGAUGAUUCUGUUGGGAUAUUCUUAAUUCUUUGAAACCCAGAUUAUUAAAUGUUCUAAUUUCUGCUGAUUGAUUUAAGUUUGGGAUCUCAGAUGGGUAGUUAAAGAUCAAAGGCAUGUGAUUUCAUUAAUUAAAUAAUGAAUCUAGCUUAUUUGGUCUAUAUGAUUUUCAUUAUUUUAUGAUUUUACAACUGUCUAAAUCAACAAUACCAGUAAUUUUAAGCAUUUUGGUCUCUGUAAGACUGCAACUAGCUAGUCUUGGAUCCAGAUUUGCUCGAAGUUUGAGUGGUAUAAUUUUUUUCUUACUGAUUUCAAUUUUUUUAUUAGCUAAUUUGGAUUGAUAGCAUGCUUGGUUUUAAAUUAUGUUCUACAGUUGUUUUCGUUCAUAGCUGGUUUAGUUGUAGCUGUUGCAAAAUUAAGAUUGAUUUGAAAGGUAAUUAUCUAAAUAAUCGUUUUGUUUAAUGAUAUAGAUUUGGUGUUGCAUCCAUCUAAUAAUGUGUUUAUCUUCGACAAUUCAAUAGAAUUUAUUGGGUUGGUUAAUUUAUAAAGCUUGUUUGAAAUUAAAGCCACAUAUAAUUAAAAUGUAAUUAUUGUUCUAGAUUUUGAAAUUGGGUUAGGAAGAUGCUUCUCUUGAUUCAUUUUGGAAAGGAAAUUAUUUUGCAGUACUUGUCUGCUGCUGUUGCACAAAUUGAUGUAACUUAUAUUUGUAUAUCUAUUGUCAUCCUUAUUCUUAAUUAAUUUUGUAGGCUCAAAUUGACCCGAGGUAUUAUUUUGUUAAAUAUGGCUACAUGGAUGCGAGUAAUUUUUUUACAUUUUCUUCUCUAACUAAGAAGAACACAAAUUUGUUUAACAUCGAGUACACAUUUACAUACUCUUUCAGCUUGAUGAAUUACAUUUUAUAUUGUCUUUUGAUUAUUUCUUCCCUUCACUAGGCAGUGGAGUUACUGGAAUUGUCCUCCUGAGAAAGAGGAGGGUAAUUAAGUCUUUAUCCAACUUAAGUAACAGAGUUAUGACAGAAAGCAGUUAUUCACUUCACCUCAAAAGAUCGGGAGUUUAAAUGUAACUUUACUGACUACAGGUGGUUAAGUGAAAAAUCGCCCAAACUCCAGGCGGUCAUAUGAACUUAACCCUUAUUAUUAUUAUAUAUAUUCCAUAAUUGGUUAGAAAAAAGGGGAAGCUGCGAAUUGACUCCUUCCAUGCAUAUAUAUAAUAUAAUGUUGGCAGGUAAUUUGGACGGACAUUUUAGUUGGGAUGAUGCACAUUACAUAUGUAAAUGCACAUGUUUUUAUUUUAUUUGAGUUGCGUAGUUGAAAUUUUGACCAUUUAAAGAGAAGAAGAAUCAUAUAUGGUUGUGAAUUUGAGAGCUACAUGUACAGGAACCUCGAUCCCUUCUCUUCUUAUAUGAGCAUUGCCCACCGUCGGAUCAUACAUACAUACGUAUACGUAUACAAUCACAAUUCCUCGGACUGUAUUGUGGACUGAGAAAGAAAAAAGAGUUAGUAACACGAAUCAAUCAAAACAGCAUAAGACAAAAUGCUGGCUUGCUUGCUUGCUUGCUGGCUGCGACUCUCUAAAC